GAUGAACGCUAGCGAGUAGGCCUAACACAUGCGAAGUCGGAGGGGGCAGCACAUGAAGUAGCAAUACGGAUGGUGGCGACCGGCGCGACGGGUGAGUAACGCGUAUGCAACCUGCCUAACAACAGGGGAAUAACCCGUUGAAAGACGGACUAAUACCCCAUAACACAGGGAUCCCGCAUGGGAAUAUUUGUUAAAAGAUUUAUCGGUUGUAGAUGGGCAUGCGUUCCAUUAGCUGGUUGGUGAGGUAACGGCUCACCAAGGCAACGAUGGAUAGGGGAACUGAGAGGUUUAUCCCCCCACACUGGUACUGAGACACGGACCAGACUCCUACGGGAGGCAGCAGUGAGGAAUAUUGGUCAAUGGACGCAAGUCUGAACCAGCCACGUCGCGUGAAGGAAGACGGCCCUACGGGUUGUAAACUUCUUUUGUAAGGGAAUAAAGUGCAGUACGCGUACUGUUUUUGCAUGUACCUUACGAAUAAGGAUCGGCUAACUCCGUG
rnacentral:rRNA from 1 species